UUUUAUUUUUGUUUUUAUGUUAUUUUUGUAAAAUGUUUUAGUUUUUAUAUUUUUUAAAAAGACAUUUAAAAUUUGUUUUUUGAACUGGAUUAGUACCCAGGUAAUCAAAAUUAAUUAAUUCGGGAGUAAAGUUUUGUUUAAACCGAAAAAAUAUUGACUGACCUUGGAUUUUUCUUUGGAAUAUGCGUAUGGAGAGCCCUCUUUUUUGGUGAGUCUUAUCGGCACAUGUAUGAUUGUUUAGUUUUUAUUUUAUUUGUAAUGCUUUUUAUGUUUUGUCAUUUAAAACAGAUAUAUAUUUGGCUUAUGGACUUAUAAUCGUGUGUUACUAUUAUUAAUUUUUUUUGGAUUAUUUUUUUAUUUUUUUUUGAAAUUGGAAAAGAAAGUAAUUUUUUUUUUAUAUGAAGAUAAAUUU
rnacentral:rRNA from 1 species